rnacentral:rRNA from 1 species
GACAGAGGGUGCAAACGUUGUUCGGAAUUACUGGGCGUAAAGCGCGUGUAGGUGGCGAGGCAAGUCGGGUGUGAAAGCCCUGGGCUCAACCCAGGAAGUGCACUCGAUACUGCCUAGCUAGAGUCCCGGAGAGGUUGGUGGAACUCUCGGUGUAGAGGUGAAAUUCGUAGAUAUCGAGAAGAACACCGGUGGCGAAGGCGGCCAACUGGACGGUGACUGACACUGAGACGCGAAAGCGUGGGGAGACAAACAGGAGUUAAGUGA